GAUGAACGCUAGCGGGAGGCCUAACACAUGCAAGCCGAGCGGUAGAGUUUCUUCGGAAACUUGAGAGCGGCGCACGGGUGCGUAACACGUGUGCAACCUACCUUUAUCUGGGGGAUAGCCUUUCGAAAGGAAGAUUAAUACCCCAUAAUAUAAUGAUUGGCAUCAAUUAUUAUUGAAAACUCCGGUGGAUAGAGAUGGGCACGCGCAAGAUUAGAUAGUUGGUGAGGUAACGGCUCACCAAGUCAAUGAUCUUUAGGGGUCCCGAGAGGGAGAUCCCCCACACUGGUACUGAGACACGGACCAGACUCCUACGGGAGGCAGCAGUGAGGAAUAUUGGACAAUGGGUGAGAGCCUGAUCCAGCCAUCCCGCGUGAAGGAUGACGGUCCUAUGGAUUGUAAACUUCUUUUGUACAGGGAUAAACCUACCCUCGUGAGGGUAGCUGAAGGUACUGUACGAAUAAGCACCGGCUAACUCCGUG
rnacentral:rRNA from 1 species